rnacentral:rRNA from 1 species
CAGCAGCCGCGGUAAUACGGAGGGAGCUAGCGUUGUUCGGAAUCACUGGGCGUAAAGCGCACGUAGGCGGCUAUUCAAGUCAGGGGUGAAAGCCCGGGGCUCAACCCCGGAACUGCCUUUGAAACUAGAUAGCUUGAAUCUUGGAGAGGCGAGUGGAAUUCCGAGUGUAGAGGUGAAAUUCGUAGAUAUUCGGAAGAACACCAGUGGCGAAGGCGACUCGCUGGACAAGUAUUGACGCUGAGGUGCGAAAGCGUGGGGAGCAAACAGGAUUAGAUACCCCAGUAGUCCCUGUCUCUUAUAC